UAAUGAAAACUGACCGAGCUAUCUGUGUACUUACGAUUUUCCUUGGAUAAUGUGUUAUUUGGGUUAAUGAUACUUCAUGACAGUCCCGCAAAAAAAACUGCUAUGCAUUCAUUACAAAAAAAAACCCCACACAAAACAGAUAACCUAUUCAAGAGUGCUAUUAAGCUACGAAAAAAAAAACAUUAACUAGAAAAAGAGACCGGUCUCCAGUGCUCAAUUUAGUACCACUUGAUAGCUCUUGUUAAAGGUAUGCAAUAUGAGGACAAAGUUAACAUGCCAUUUGUCAGUGGAGCCAUUCUUCUUAUAGAAUCUGCAGCUUGCAGCUUCAAGCACUUUGUUUCUCCAGUUUCCCUGGGAAAGCCACAUAAGCAGAUGAUUAGAGGGACAUAGAUUUUGAAUCUUUUUCGUAGAUACUAACACCAAAGAAAAUAAACUGGAUGUCUAACACACAGCACAAACCCUAAGACUCGCAAAGGGAAGCCCUCUCCUUUAAUAUAUUCCAAUUGUCAUCAUCUGUCUCAUAGGUUGUUGCCUGAAAGCAAAGUUCAUGGCAUGAUCAUGAAGCACUGGCAGAUCACUAACUAGUUCUUCAGAAAAAAAACAGGAAUGCCUCCAGCUUCUCCAGUGACUUGCCCAGAAAUGAGAGAUCAUGUUUUCUUGCCCUUUACUGGUGCCUGAACCUGCCCCUCUCCCACACUGCCAGGAGCCUGUUUUAACCUGUAGUGCCAAUCAUGUUGCGUCUUCUCAAAGCUUCAGCUCAGUCAAGGAGUUUCCAUCAGCAUGAAGACACAGGAUCUUUUGUACAUUAAGAAACAGCCUACACUUUCCCCAAGAGAAUCCUUGCAUCCUGCAUCCUCACUUCUCCAGCACUAAACCUGGGAGAAUUUGUGACAUUUGACAUCUGUGAGUUGAUUUCUGAAGACUGAAGUUCUGCAGUUGCUGAAAUGGCCGAAGCUUCCGUAAAUACAAGUGCACAGGUUGAAAGGCAAACUGGACCAGAGUCAAACACUCAGGCAAAACCCACCAGAACAGCAUCGGUGCAGAGAGUAUCAGACUUCAGUGCUUACAGACACAUUUGUUCUGCUUCCUACCAAAACUGCAAGCCACUUGGUAACACG